rnacentral:rRNA from 1 species
GACGAACGCUGGCGGCGUGCUUAACACAUGCAAGUCGAACGGAAAGGCCCUGCUUGUGUGGGGUGCUCGAGUGGCGAACGGGUGAGUAACACGUGAGUAACCUGCCCUUGACUUUGGGAAAACUUCAGGAAACUGGGGCUAAUACCGGAUAGGAGCUCCUGCUGCAGGGAGGGGGCUGGAAAGUCUCGGCGGUUUGGGAUGGACUCGCGGCUUAUCAGCUCGUUGGUGGGGUAGUGGCCUACACAGGCAUUGCCCGGUACACGGCCUGAGAGGGUGACCGGCCACGAUGGAACUGCGAUACGGCCCAGACUCCUACGGGCCACAGGAGUGGGGUAUCUUGCACAAUGGGCGGAAGCCUGAUGCAGCACCGCCGCGUCCUCGAUGACGGCCUUCGGGUUGUAAACCGCUUUCGCCUCUGACGAAGCGUCAGUGGCGGUAAUCGGUAGCGAAGCACCCGCUAACUACGUA